rnacentral:rRNA from 1 species
GAUGAACGCUAGCUACAGGCUUAACACAUGCAAGUCGAGGGGUAACGAGAGGAAAGCUUGCUUUCCUUGUCGACGACCGGCGCACGGGUGAGUAACGCGUAUCCAACCUGCCCCCAACUAAGGAAUAACCUUGCGAAAGUAAGACUAAUACCUUAUAAUUUCCUCAGAUGUCAUCUGACGAGGAAUAAAGAUUUAUCGGUUGUGGAUGGGGAUGCGUCUGAUUAGCUUGUUGGCGGGGUAACGGCCCACCAAGGCAACGAUCAGUAGGGGUUCUGAGAGGAAGGCCCCACACAUUGGAACUGAGACACGGUCCAAACUCCUACAGGAGGCGGCAGUGAGGAAUAUUGGUCAAUGGGCGGCAGCCUUAACCAGCCUAGUAGCGUGCAGGAUGACGGCCCUAUGGGUUGUCAACUGCUUUUAUACAGGAAUAAAGUUAGCCACGUGUGGUUAUUUGUAGGUACUGUAUGAAUAAGGACCGGCUAAUUCCGUGCCAGCAGCCGCGGUAA